AGUGCUGGCUGUGGGCUUGAGGAUUGAAGUAAUGCAUAAACCGGGUGGAUCCUUAUCAGUGUUGUUGGAAGAAAAGGCGAAGAGAUAUCAGUGAAGGGGAUGUUUGAACAGGAAUGCCAAAGAGCUGACUAGUUCUAGUCUGGCAAAAGCCAUUGCAUGCAGCACCGACAGGAAGACGGGACUCCAGGGAGCUGCAGAGGCUCCUUAGCACUGAUGUCCCUGAGUGAUGAGAUUGAAA
rnacentral:lncRNA from 1 species